rnacentral:rRNA from 1 species
GACGAACGCUGGCGGCGUGCUUAACACAUGCAAGUCGAACGGAAAGGCCCUGCUUUUUUGGGGUGCUCGAGUGGCGAACGGGUGAGUAACACGUGAGUAACCUGCCCUUGACUUUGGGAUAACUUCAGGAAACUGGGGCUAAUACCGUAUAGGAUCUCCUGCUGCAUGGUGGGGGUUGGAAAGUUUCGGCGGUUGGGGAUGGACUCGCGGCUUAUCAGCUUGUUGGUGGGGUAGUGGCUUACCAAGGCUUUGACGGGUAGCCGGCCUGAGAGGGUGACCGGCCACAUUGGGACUGAGAUACGGACCAGACUCGUACGGGAGGCAGCAGUGGGGAAUAUUGCACAAUGGGCGGAAGCCUGAUGCAGCAACGCCGCGUGCGGGAUGACGGCCUUCGGGUUGUAAAACGCUUUCGCCUGUGACGAAGCGUGAGUGACGGUAAUGAGUAAAGAAGCACCGGCUAACUACGUG